GUUCUCAUUUUCCUACUGCGCAGGGUAAGUGGACUUGUGUGCUUUGUAGCUGUUACUCUUUUGUGCUUUGUCUUUUUCUUUUAUUUUCUUUUGAGCGAUUGUGCGAACAUAGCAUAGCACGCGCUAUGCCUUCUGUGUUGUAGCUGUCUGGCCAGGAUGACUGGCGAAUAAGGUCUUGUGCGUGGCCUCGAGGCUUAAAAGUAGUAGCGGGGCUUUGUGAAGGACAAAAUGGCGAUGGCGGGCCGUGCAGGUCCCCUCCCUAUGAUGAGGACCUUUUCACAGACCUGUACUGAGCUCCGUGAGGAUAUGUAACUCUGAGGAGAUGGGCCCUGCAAGCCUCCUGCUUAGUAACGUCUGUUCAGAAAAUAGCGUUUUCGAAAUGCCCUGUGUUGACCUAAUGUCUUCUUGGGCUCCUGUCUCCAGGGUUUACGCGCACGUUGGAAUCGAAGAGAGUUCUAUUGUUGCAGUAAGUUCUUAUGGCCAUUUCUUAACCUCUGCUCUUUCGUUGAGUGUGUGGAAGUUGCUACGGGGAUGAUUUUACGAACCGAACUCUCUCUUUCUGAUGGAUUAGUGGAGAAAACACAAAAAUUCUGAGUAGCACUGUACUGUACGCAACAAAUGUCAGGGCCCUAUUGAUUUGUCUGAGGUGUUAGUGAAGAGUGUUAUUUUUUCAGAUGUUCAGCCCACAAGAGCUUACUGGUGAAGGAAUGGGACAAGACCCAUCUUUAUGCAAAGCCAGCGUUACAGUAAUGUUCCAGCAUCUCAUAACCUAUCCUGAGGAAUUCAGCUGCCUCCCAGGGUGAAUACAGGUAUUCCUGAUGACAGUCUGCCCCUAUCUUACAGAGCAGCUUGUUGCUAUAUACCAUUGAAAAGCCUUCAGAGCUGAGAGGUACUACUAACCAAUAACCUGAUUGGCUCAAAGGGCCAGCACCUUCUCUCUAAAGCCCAAGAGGAGUUGGAGGAAAACUAAGUGUCUCUGUUCACUCCAGGCUGAAAUUACAGGUCUGAGGAAAGAAGGUGUAUAAAAAAUGGAAUCUGUCUUGGAAGACAUCAGAAGGUGAAUUUUCCAAGUCCUUGGACAACCUAGCUGUUAAAAAAAGCUUUCUGGGUUUGGGGGGGUCUUUCAGAUGUACCUUAAAGUGUUAGCAGACACAGAUUUAAGACACUGGGAGCCAAUGAAACAGCAGUUGAGGGUUUGCUGUGUAUCACAUUUCUGUAUUUUAUCACCCCCUUCCUGCAACAUUAUUUCUGUGGAAUCUACCUGCCCUUUUGUUUUUAAGAUACAAGGGCUUGGUUUUGUUACCAAGGCUGGUUUCAAGGCCCUAGCUUUGAGAUCCUCCCACUACAUAUUUCCAAAGUGCUGGGAUUACAGGUGUGAUGCGUGGCACCCAGACUUUGCUGCCUUUCUUACAUGAUCCAGGCCCAGAACCCAAACUCAGGCACUGCAUAGAUGACCAGUUAGGUAAACUACUGACCUAGCUUGUUGCCAAUUGUUGAUUGAGCUUCCCAUAACUCCACUUCGUUUCUGUUCCUCUGUAUGCCGCCACCUUCUAUUGCCAUCAUGAGCCUUUAGGUCUCCAUUUCCAUAUUGCAAAUACUAUGUUCCACACGUAGGUAGCUCAGUCAGGGCCUUGCUCUUCACUUCAAAAAAGAUUCCCUUGAGGACUGGCUGUCAAUUUGUGUUGCUGUGUUGGUUGUUGAUGAAAAUAAUAAAAUGAUGGAUUACAUA